rnacentral:lncRNA from 1 species
CUCAGUGCGUGUGAGCUAAAGCCACAUUCAGGCUCUGAAGUGCUACUUGGACGUGUUUAAGUGUUUUUAUGGGCAAGAGAAUGGGAAAUGAUCACUUCUUCAUCGCGAUGGGUCAGCACAAAGUGUUUGUUCUCUGAAAGCUGAUCUCUUUGCCUUUCAGUGCCAUUAAAGAAUGGCUGUAGCUUUGAAGAUGACCUGUCCCUGGGAGCUGAGGGUAAGUACUCUCCACUUUCUCCCUUAAUCGGUUGUAAUUGCUCUCAAGUGUGCUCCUUUGUGAGAAUGUGACAAAGAAUUUCAAGAUUCCAGUAGCUUCUUUGAGGUUAAUGGACCGAAUGACAAACAAGAAUGAAUGCUGGCUAUUUGUUUUGUUUGUUCUUGUUUUUGUUUUUUUUUUUUUUUUUUAAGUAUUUAUUAGUUAGUUUUUUUUUUUUUUUUUUUUUUUUUUUUUUUUUCUUAAAAGCACAGUUAAAUGUGGGUUUCUUUUACAACCUAGUCCCAUAUGUGUUUCUGUUAGUCAGGCACCUCUGCUUCCCAAGGCUGGAGAGACGAUACAUGGGCACAGGUUCUUUAUCGGUUUUGAUGGCAAAGGGGCCAAUCAAUGCAUCCAAGCUGCACGAAUGGGGGCCAAGACUGCCAUGGUGUAUAAGGUCGGCAGGGACGUUUUUGGGAACGACUACAUUCAAAACUUCAAAAAUAAUGGCAUAUCGACUGGUAAUGGCCAAACAGUGCUUUUACAUCGUUUCACAUCUAAAGCUUUGUUUAGACAAGCAGCAAAAUAUCUUUUAAAAUCAGAUGUUAUAGGUGUAUCAACUCAAAUAUAUUUAGUUUUUCAUAAUUGGAACAGCAUUUUUUCAUUAUUUGGGUUGCAAAGUGUGUAACGUUGUAAGAACAAAGUGUGCAAAAGUGUGAAUUCACAGAUAUUUGGUGCCUUUUUAGAUAAGAUACCAUCAUAAGCAGAAGCAAAACUUUCAGUUCUACAUCCAUAAAUUCCAUGAUGACAGCUACUUUCAUAAUGCUGACAUUUACGUCAUUAUCAGACUAACAGCCGAUGUAGAUAUGCAAAAUGAACAUUGACAUAAAAAAUAAAUAAAAAUAUUCCUUUGAAGAUGCUUAGGUAUUUUUAUGUUAAAACAAGACAAAAGUACUGAGAAAGGACUCUCAGUUUUGCAGUUCAGUUCUGUUCCUGGACCUUGCAGUGCAACCUUGCAGUGCAUUUUGCAACCUGAUAAUGCCAUCAUUUAAUAUACAUUGACCCUUAUUGUAGGUAUUGUUUUGUUAUUUAUUUUAACCAUUGUAUA